rnacentral:rRNA from 1 species
AUGGGGCAUCGCAACCAGAUCGCACCGCCGGGUGGCAACGACAUGGACGGCUGGACAGAGGGGGGUAGCGGGGUAGGGGGGAGAGGCAACGCACCGUCGCGGAUCCCGUGCGCGGGCGGCGGGCGGGGGAGUGCCGCCGCGGGCCGGGCGCUCGUCGCCUCCGUUGGCUGGCUGGGGCGGUUCGGGGUGAGGAGGGCCAGCGGAAGGCCUCGAUUUGCGGGGCGAAGCGUGGGAGGGGGAGAGAGAGGGGGCAGCGAACGCGGAGAGAGAGGGGGCAGGUCUGCACUCUUGGUGGCGCGUGUUAAUGAAACCAGCAACAGCAAGAUCCGUGAGAUGAUUAGCGAGCAGGGUUGCAGAUUAAACGUACACGGGACGCUGUUAAGCGGAGGGAAUGUCCCUCCCGUGCCGAGAUGCGCGAGAGCGAGACGGAUAAUAAUACUCCUUCCGUUCCUAAAUAUUUGUCUUUUUAGAGAUUUCGACAAGUAA